rnacentral:rRNA from 1 species
GAUGAACGCUAGCGGCAGGCUUAACACAUGCAAGUCGAGGGGUAGAGGCUUUCGGGCCUUGAGACCGGCGCACGGGUGCGUAACGCGUAUGCAAUCUGCCUUCCACAGAGGGAUAGCCCAGAGAAAUUUGGAUUAAUACCUCAUAGUAUUACAGGAUGGCAUCAUCCGGUAAUUAAAGUCACAACGGUGGAAGAUGAGCAUGCGUCCCAUUAGCUAGUUGGUAAGGUAACGGCUUACCAAGGCGACGAUGGGUAGGGGUCCUGGGAGGGGGAUCCCCCACACUGGUACUGAGACACGGACCGGACUCCUCCGGGAGGCAGCGGUGAGGAAUAUUGGUCAAUGGGCGCAAGCCUGAACCAGCCAUGCCGCGUGCAGGAUGACGGUCCUAUGGAUUGUAAACUGCUUUUGUACGGGAAGAAACACUGAUUCGUGAAUCAGCCUGACGGUACCUUAAGAAUAAGGAUCGGCUAACUCCGUGCCAGCAGCCGCCGUAAGAC